AUGAUCCGCUCGGGCAAAUAUUUCAUGGGCCUCGCUUGGUGCUGUUGGGUCCAUGCAUGGCUGCACAACUCUUCAAAUAAACGUAAUAUGCAAGGCCUGGCUCAGGCUGUAGGGCAAGUCGCCAGCCAAACCAUGUCCCCUCCUCUCCUGCUCGUCGCCUCUCUCCUCUCUCUCAAAAGGUUGCGACAGUUCGAGUCACUCUGUACUCGCAGUUCGAGUCACUCUGUACUCGCAGCAGUGGAAAGCACCGGUGAUUCUUUGAGCUCGGGCGCAGUUCCUCCUAGUGGAAAAGGCGGCAAUCGACAACGCCUCCUCUCAACCAUUCGUGCCCACUUGUUAGGCGAGGAAUUCUGGGAUUGA
rnacentral:rRNA from 1 species